UCUGGUGAUGAUGGCGAAGAGGUCACACCCGUUCCCAUACCGAACACGGAAGUUAAGCUCUUCAGCGCCGAUGGUAGUUGGGGGUUUCCCCCUGCAAGAGUAGGACGUUGCCAGGC
rnacentral:rRNA from 1 species